rnacentral:rRNA from 1 species
AGGAUUAACGCUGGCGGCGUGCCUAACACAUGCAAGUCGAACGAGGUAGCAAUACCUAGUGGCAGACGGGUGAGUAACGCGUGGUCAACCUACCGUUGAGUGGGGGAUAACUAGCCGAAAGGUUAGCUAAUACCGCAUACGAGUCUCGGGGGCAUCCCUGGGCCUUAAAAGGAGCAAUCCGCUCGAUGACGGGACCGCGUCCCAUUAGCUAGAUGGUGUGGUAACGGCCUACCAUGGCACCGAUGGGUAGCUGGUUUGAGAGAGCGACCAGCCACACUGGGACUGAGAAACGGCCCAGACUCCUACGGGAGGCAGCAGUGAGGAAUUUUCCGCAAUGGGCGAAAGCCUGACGGAGCGACGCCGCGUGUGGGAAGAAGGCCUUCGGGUCGUAAACCACUGUCGAAGGGGACGAUAAUGACGGUACCCUUGGAGGAAGCCCCGGCUAACUACGCGCCAGCAGCCGC